GACGAACGCUGGCGGCGUGCUUAACACAUGCAAGUCGAACGGAAAGGCCCUGCUUUUGUGGGGUGCCCGAGUGGCGAACGGGUGAGUAACACGUGAGUAACCUGCCCUUGACUUUGGGAUAACUUCAGGAAACUGGGGCUAAUACCGGAUAGGGGCUCCUGCUGCAUGGUGGGGGUUGGAAAGUUUCGGCGGUUGGGGAUGGACUCGCGGCUUAUCAGCUUGUUGGUGGGGUAGUGGCUUACCAAGGCUUUGACGGGUAGCCGGCCUGAGAGGGUGACCGGCCACAUUGGGACUGAGAUACGGCCCAGACUCCUACGGGAGGCAGCAGUGGGGAAUAUUGCACAAUGGGCGGAAGCCUGAUGCAGCAACGCCGCGUGCGGGAUGACGGCCUUCGGGUUGUAAACCGCUUUCGCCUGUGACGAAGCGUGAGUGACGGUAAUGGGUAAAGAAGCACCGGCUAACUACGUG
rnacentral:rRNA from 1 species